CCUUAGUGUAAGAGAUACUCUUCGCUUGUAGAGUGGCUAGUUUGUUUUUUCGGUGAUUUAUACGUUGUAAAACGACCAUCAAUGAAAUGAGUUAAUUUAAUGUCGUGAACGUGAAAAAAGUGUUAAUGAGGAAGAAAUUUCUCCACCUGCUCAAAUAGGUGUUUUGGCCCCGCUUUACUGUGGCCAUCUUGGAAGACUGAACCGUUUAUCCAUUAUCCUUGAACAAAAGUUUGUGGACGUGGUUCUUGCUGUAGUCAACUAAGUUUCAAUAUUUUGUCUCUCUUGCCCAGGUAAGGGUGAACUAAAUUAGUGACAUGGUGAAAACUACAAUUUGUAGCUCCAUUCGUUGGUAGACAAGGAUGACUCAUCAGCUAACCUGAUCAUCUCUAGGCUAUGGGGGUUACAUGCCCUUGCCAGACCCCUGGCCAUUGAUGGAAGAUGCUUUCCAAAAUCCCUGGGCCAGUCUGGAUGUAUAUACUUCUUUCUCAUUCAGCCUGAUUCAUUGGGUGAUCAGUAGGGUAUGGAUCACCUCGGUUCUUGUGAUGGCCUUAGUUGUUCUGCAUUGGCCUCAAGCUGAGUGAUAUCCAGAUUGCUAACUCUCCUGGCCGGGCCACUGAGAGAGAUGCCCCUUGGGCUCACUCUCCCCUGUCAACCACAUGCUCAAAGGUAACAAACCUGAGGUCUUAUCAAGAGGAAUCUUAAUGCAAGCUGAAGACCAGGUAAAAAUCAGAUUGUGAAGCAAAGAAUCUGUGGCAUCUGGCAACUCAUGCAUAUAUGAGGUGGAAGCUGGUCACCGACUGGGCUUGAAACCUCAUGGGUUCCCCAAAGCAGCCCUGUAGUCUCUGACAGCCGAGAUGGAAAGACUUGUUCAUCUCUGAGAAAGUUUAGAAAAUCCUCUGCACAGAAGUUCUGAGUGGAGAGAAACCUGUUGACGAACACAAUCACAGUAAAUGGCCCACUUGCCCGGGUAAACCGCUGAUGAAGACCACCUGAGAUUGAUGACAUUGGCCUGUUGCUUUGACAGUCUCCAGCCUUCAAGUGGAU